GAUGGACGCUGGCGGCGUGCCUAAUACAUGCAAGUCGAGCGAACGGACGAGAAGCUUGCUUCUCUGAUGUUAGCGGCGGACGGGUGAGUAACACGUGGAUAACCUACCUAUAAGACUGGGAUCACUUCGGGAAACCGUAGCUAAUACCGGAUAAUCUUCUGAACCGCAUGGUUCAAAAGUGAAAGACGGUCUUGCUGUCACUUAUCGAUGGAUCCGCGCUGCAUUAGCUAGUUGGUAAGGUAACGGGUUACCACGGCAACGAUGCAUAGCCGACCUGAGAGGGGGGUCGGCCGCACGGGAGCUGGAACGCGGUCCAUGCGACUGCGGGAGGCAGCAGUAGGGAAUCUGCCGCAAAAGGCGAGAGCCUUACGGAGCGGCGCCGCGUGAGAGAUGAAAGUCUUCGGAGCGUAAAGCUCUGUUAUUAGGGAAGAACAUAUUUGUAAGUAGCUGUACACAUCUUGACGGUACCUAAUCAAAAAGCCACGGCUAACUACGUG
rnacentral:rRNA from 1 species